CCCUUGCCAUUAGUUGCUAACAUUAAGUUGAGCACUUUAAUGGGACUGCCGGUGACAAACCGGAGGAAGGUGGGGAUGACGUCAAGUCCUCAUGGCCCUUAUGACCAGGGCUUCACACGUCAUACAAUGGUCGGUACAGAGGGUCGCUAACCCGCGAGGGGGUGCCAAUCUCACAAAACCGAUCGUAGUCCGGAUUGCACUCUGCAACUCGAGUGCAUGAAGUCGGAAUCGCUAGUAAUCGCGGAUCAGCAUGUCGCGGUGAAUACGUU
rnacentral:rRNA from 1 species